rnacentral:rRNA from 1 species
AUUAAUAAGCGGAGGAAAAGAAACUAACAAGGAUUCCCUCAGUAACGGCGAGUGAAGCGGGAAGAGCUCAAAUUUGAAAUCUCCGGUGCUUGCAYCGGCGAGUUGUAGUUGCGAGAAGCACUUUCUAGGUGGAUCGGCGGUGCCUAAGUUGCUUGGAACAGCACGUCGCAGAGGGUGACAACCCCGUCUGUGGCGCCGCCGGCCGCUGACGAUGUGCUUUCGAAGAGUCGGGUUGUUUGGGAAUGCAGCCCAAAAUGGGUGGUAAACUCCAUCUAAAGCUAAAUACUGGCGUGAGACCGAUAGCGAACAAGUACCGUGAGGGAAAGAUGAAAAGAACUUUGAAAAGAGAGUUAAAAAGUACGUGAAACCGUCGGAAGGGAAACGAAUGGACUCAGCAAUGCGCCCUCUGAGAUUCAGCCGSKKGGRRGSSKUSGCSCCSGGGUUUGCGGAUCUGAAUGGACCGCGGCCCRGCGCUCGSUUCUCCCCGCCGUCGCACUUCUCUGGGGCGCGCGUCAACGUGGGUUGGGACUGGGUCUGAAAGGUGCCGGGAAGGUAGGUGUGGGCCUUCGGGUCCGUUCUGUUACAGCCCGGUUCUCUCAUGGCUCGGGCCCGACCGAGGAGCAGACAGGGCAUGCCUCCUGUGGCUAGGGUCCCGUCCUUCCGGCCGGCUGUCCAGUGUGGUGGACUGCUUGCAGUGCUCUGCGACGGCUGCCGGUCGUUGGGGUGGUGAUCUCGUACCAUGCCCUUGGGAUGUUGGCGG